UACGUAGGGCGCAAGCGUUGUCCGGAAUUAUUGGGCGUAAAGAGCUCGUAGGCGGUCUGUCACGUCUGCCGUGAAAACCCGAGGCUUAACCUCGUGGCUUGCGGUGGAUACGGGCAGACUAGAGGUAGGUAGGGGAGAACGGAAUUCCCGGUGUAGCGGUGAAAUGCGCAGAUAUCGGGAAGAACACCCGUGGCGAAGGCGGCUCUCUGGGACGGUACUGACGCUGAGACGCGAAAGCGUGGGGAGCGAACAGG
rnacentral:rRNA from 1 species